UGGAUGUUGCAGGAAAGGAAAGGAGAUUCGCGAGCGAGGACAAAGAGGCAAUAUCAGAGUGACUGACAAGCUGAGAUUCUUCCUAAAGGACCCAUUUUCAUUAUAGACAGUGUCUGUGGCUGGAGGCUCUACAUACAAGGUGUGCCUACACAGGCCAAAGAGUGCCAGUAUUAGCACAGAAUUCCCCAGCCCACCAAGGAUUUGAGACCCAUCAGGUAU